GAGAUUGACACUUUGAAAACUAUUGUUGCUGUCCUUCUGAUAUAGUGUUUGUAGUAAAUAUCGCAGUUUCUAAUAACAGUUAACUUUUCUAAUGUUUUUACAUUAACCCCAGAGGAAUACUAUCAACUUUGAAUCAUCCUGUAUAAACCUUUUCGCUGAAUUUUACAAUUAUGGAAACGCAUUUAUUAACACUAAAGACAUUCCAAGCAAUGGUGGGAUUGUUUCAAAGUGAAUUCGCCAAAACGAAAACAGUGAAAGCCACUGAAAAAGCGGAUAUUGGAGUAAUUCCCGGAUCAUAAUGAAGUUUUCAGGAUGCCAUGAGUAAUUUAAUAACUGCAAUAAAAUUUCAUAUUUCAGUGGGAACAGUGACUAAUAAUGUCUGUAUUAAAUCUAAAAUAAUAUAAUUACUGUCGACUA